UACGGGGGGGGCAAGCGUUGUUCGGAAUUACUGGGCGUAAAGGGCUCGUAGGCGGCCAACUAAGUCGGAUGUGAAAUCCCCAGGCUUAACCUGGGAACUGCAUCCGAUACUGGAUGGCUUGAAUCCAGGAGAGGGAUGCAGAAUUCCAGGUGUAGCGGUGAAAUGCGUAGAUAUCUGGAGGAAUACCGGUGGCGAAGGCGGCAUCCUGGACCGGCAUUGACGCUGAGUGAGCGAAAGCCAGGGGAGCAAACGGG
rnacentral:rRNA from 1 species